rnacentral:tRNA from 1 species
ACCCUGAUAUCAACCUCAGGGAAGAGCA